rnacentral:rRNA from 1 species
GAUGAACGCUGGCGGCGUGCCUAAUACAUGCAAGUCGAGCGAACAGACGAGGAGCUUGCUCCUCUGACGUUAGCGGCGGACGGGUGAGUAACACGUGGAUAACCUACCUCUAAGACUGGGAUAACUUCGGGAAACCGGAGCUAAUACCGGAUAAUAUAUUGAACCGCAUGGUUCAAUAGUGAAAGACGGUUUUGCUGUCACUUAUAGAUGGAUCCGCGCUGCAUUAGCUAGUUGGUAAGGUAACGGCUUACCAAGGCAACGAUGCGUAGCCGACCUGAGAGGGUGAUCGGCAACACUGGAACUGAGACACGGUCCAGACUCCUACGGGAGGCAGCGGUAGGGAGUCUUCCGCAAUGGGCGAAAGCUUGACGGGGCAACGCCGCGUGAGUGAUGAGGGUCUUCGGAUCGUAAAACGCUGUUAUUAGGGAAGAACAAAUGUGUAAGUAACUAUGCACGUCUUGACGGUACCUAAUCAGAAAGCCACGGCUAACUACGUG